UACGAAGGGGGCUAGCGUUGCUCGGAAUCACUGGGCGUAAAGCGCACGUAGGCGGAUUGUUAAGUCAGGGGUGAAAUCCUGGAGCUCAACUCCAGAACUGCCUUUGAUACUGAGGAUCUUGAGUACGGGAGAGGUGAGUGGAACUGCGAGUGUAGAGGUGAAAUUCGUAGAUAUUCGCAAGAACACCAGUGGCGAAGGCGGCUCACUGGCCCGUAACUGACGCUGAGGCACGAAAGCGUGGGGGAGCAAACAGG
rnacentral:rRNA from 1 species